AUGAACGCUGGCGGCGUUCCUAAUACAUGCAAGUCGAGCGAACAGACGAGGAGCUUGCUCCUCUGACGUUAGCGGCGGACGGGUGAGUAACACGUGGAUAACCUACCUAUAAGACUGGGAUAACUUCGGGAAACCGGAGCUAAUACCGGAUAAUAUAUUGAACCGCAUGGUUCAAUAGUGAAAGACGGUUUUGCUGUCACUUAUAGAUGGAUCCGCGCCGCAUUAGCUAGUUGGUAAGGUAACGGCUUACCAAGGCAACGAUGCGUAGCCGACCUGAGAGGGUGAUCGGCCACACUGGAACUGAGACACGGUCCAGACUCCUACGGGAGGCAGCAGUAGGGAAUCUUCCGCAAUGGGCGAAAGCCUGACGGAGCAACGCCGCGUGAGUGAUGAAGGUCUUCGGAUCGUAAAACUCUGUUAUUAGGGAAGAACAAAUGUGUAAGUAACUAUGCACGUCUUGACGGUACCUAAUCAGAAAGCCACGGCUAACUACGUG
rnacentral:rRNA from 1 species